rfam:Ciona savignyi cont_30535, whole genome shotgun sequence.
AGCAAUAACAGGUCUGUGAUGCCCUUAGAUGUUCGGGGCCGCACGCGCGCUACACUGACCGGAUCAGCGUGUGCUCUCCUUGGCCGACAGGUCCGGGAAACCCGUUGAACCCCGGUCGUGCUAGGGAUAGGGAAUUGCAAUUAUUUCCCUUGAACGAGGAAUUCCCAGUAAGCGCGAGUCAUUAGCUCGCGUUGAUUACGUCCCUGCCCUUUGUACACACCGCCCGUCGCUACUACCGAUUGAAUGGUUUAGUGAGGUCCUCCGAUUGGACCCGGUCCGGGCGGCGACGUCCGAGCCGGCGUCCGAGAAGACGAUCUAACUUGAUCAUUUAGAGGAAGUAAAAGUCGUAACAAGGUUUCCGUAGGUGAACCUGCGGAAGGAUCAUUA